UGUAUAUAUAUAUAUAUAUGUAUAUAUAUGUAUGUGUAUAUAUAUGUAUGUGUAUGUGUAUAUAUGUAUAUAUAUAUAUAUAUGUGUAUAUGUUGUUUCUUUUCUUUGGUUUACCUGAUGUGUUCAGCUGACUACCAGUGGUGCCUUGCUGAUCCUUUAAUAAAGAAUAUCAAGUGAAUAAUGAUAUUUUGCUAAUAGACAUGAAAUGGAAAAUUGUUUACAACUGCAUGUUCUAAGUAAUAAAAGGAAACUGUUGAGUUUUAGUAUUGCUGGGGAAAAUAAUUUGUGCCACGAGUUUUGACUGUAGUAUCUUAUGUGCCCAAUACCACCUCAUGGCAAGAUGUAUAUGCCCCAAGGAGAGGUAACCCUGAUGACUAAGGUAUGGGAAAAAUGCUCACUGCCACAUUGGUGUCAGGACUGAAUAAAGAAAUCCAUAAUAAAUUGGUUUCUCAAUUGGUUUCUGCCCAUUCUGAUUGGCGAUAUAAAUCAGUCCCAACACUAAUGAGCUUAGCGAGCUCAAUACAAAGGAACAUAGAAGUAUAGAAAAAGAAAACACUAAGGGUAAUGCCAGUGUGUGCUCCUGGGAAACCCCAAUAGAAACAGUUUAAGGGAUAAAUGAGGGGGAACCCAAAAAAGGUAAAUGUUAUAACUGUGGGAGAACAUUUGAUGGACUGGGCUUCCAGUGCUACCAAUCAUGUCUGAGAGCAGAGGGGGUGAUGCCUUUGUUUGCCUGACCCUCUCUGACAUGCAAUACCAUUUUGUGGAGUGUUUUGUGGACACUGCAACAGACUGCAGCGUUUUCAAAAGAGCUAUAGCUGUUAUGAAAUUAAAGGCACAUCAGCGAGCAAUAGAUCCUAUCACUAUGGGUAAUAAUAGGGUAGAUGAAGCAGCCAAGAAGGCAGCUCUCAUAAUACUCUGUGGAGAAUUUGACAAUGGAGGUCUUAAAAACCCUCCAAAACCAAACAGGUUCCCUAACUCAUUGCAAGUGGGAAAAUGCUGGUUGCAAACUGGAAAAUAAGGUUUGGAAACAUGGGGAUGUUAGAUUAUGUGCACCUACAGUGCUAUAUCCUGUUUUAGCCAGUUUAUCUCAUCUCCCUUCCCAUGUUUCCAAAGGGGGAAUGAUUGCAAGAAUGAUUGUUAAUAAAUAUUGGUUUGCACCAGGUUUCUCACAAUUUGUAACUGAAUGGUGCAAGAAAUGCAUGAUUUGUGCUAAAUACAAUACAAGAAAAUUGACAAAGAUGGAGAUGAAACACCUUGUAAAACCUGACUACCCAUUCCAAAGACUGCAAAUAGACUAUAUUCAGCUGCCCAAAUGUGGUGUGUAUGAGUAUGUUUUGGUGUGUGUAGAUAUGUUUUCCUCUUGGGUGGAGGCCUGGCCGGUUGCCAAGGCAACAGCAGGUGUAACAGAAAAAACUGAUAACUGAAAUUGUGUGCAGAUAUAGUUUACCUGAAACAUUAGAAUCUGAUCAAGGGACUCAUUUUACUGGGCAAGUGUUUGCAGAAAUGAUGAAAGGGUUGCAGAUUAAUCGUCUGGGAAAGUAGAGAGAGCCAAUGGUGUUAAUAGCUAAGAUCUGUGAGCAGACAAAACUUACUUGGGUACAAGCCUUACCUUUAGCCCUCUUUGCAGUAAGACACACCCCAAAGGCAAAGCAUGGCCUUUUGCCAUUUGAAAUUUUGUUUGGUAGACCACUAAUAGGUCUUUUCUUUCCACAAGAAUUACAUGGGCAGUAUGCUUCUCUAACUGAUUAUGUUGUUCAGCUGCAUGAGCAACUGACUAAUUUGUAUGGAAAAGUUUUCUCUUCAUUACCAGAUCCAGAACAAAUAACUGGAACUCAUCACCUGCACCCUGGAGACUGGGUGGUGAUAAGAAGAUACAUGAGGAGACACUUAGAGCCCCGGUUUGACGGCCCAUAUCAGGUGUUACUGACAACACCCACCUCAGUCAAAGUGGAAUGGAAACCAAACUGGAUACAUGCCUCUCACUGUAAGAAAGUGAACUUCCAGGCCGGUGAUAAAAACCUGUGUCAAAAGGGUGAGACCACUGGGGACAAAGUGGGUUAACUAACUGCCAAGAUGCAUAUACUGUCCUGUUUUUUUUCUUUGUCCUUUUCUUUGUGUUUUAUACCUCUAUACACCAGUGAAGGGUGACAAACUGACAAAUUCCAUCUGGCUUUUACACCAACAAACCGCCAAGCAACUGAAUGCCACAGACUGUAGAUGGUUUCAACUAUGGCUGGGAAAGAUGAAAAAGAUGAAGAUACGGAUUGUUUAGGGUGAUGAUACAACAGCUACAGAGAUGACCGACUGAUAACUUAGUUCAGCUACCUGCCUUCCCUGCAGACCCUCCAGUCAUUUUAGGAGACAGGUGGAAGAUCUCAUCUCUGCGAGGGGGUCCCACAAUUGCACCUCAUCAGCUUUGGGCCUACUACAGGAUUUGGACCUAGGCCUGUGAAGGGAUGCAGUUCUGGCUGCUGUUGUUAUCUGUUUAGAUAGAGAUUGCAUAUUUUGUGUUUGCGUGUUACCAAUAAAGAUGUGUGAAUGCUUAGAGGAAAUGAUAACUAUGUAGGCAGAUCUGGAAUGGAGGCUCAGCAUCCCACUGUCUAUGCAGCUUAUCUGUAUACUCAGUGAUAUACAGUCUGUUUAAGGGGUCAUUUCCAGGUAGGAAGGCUGUUAGUUAGUCUAAUGAGAAACACAAAGUAAUAAUGGCGUGAUAAUAAACGCAAGGUAAUAGAUAAAUACAUGUGAUAAUAAAAUUAUCAAAAGGGUGAGAAAUGUUAAGGAAAAAUGUUUUUAAUUCAGUAUAUAUAUUUUUCUUAUAUGUUAUAAGAGACUGACAAGUGAUAUUUUUAAACAGUUACAUUUCUUUUUUGUCAAUUCAGCUAGUACAUAAACUGCUGUAUAUGCAAAGUAAGUAUUUUCAGCUACAGUAACACCCAACGUUUGUAUGAACAAGAUAAGAAGAAGACCACGAGGUGCUGAUUGUGAAGAAACAACACAUGGCCUAUAAAAAGAGAGACAUUGCUGCAAUCUAAUGCUGCAUGCCACACACUCUUGUAUUACUAUGUAAAAUGACCGGUUGUCAUUUUAAUUUGUAAUGUUUAAUUGUACAAUUAUAACCUUAUUAAUUUGGAACAGCUGUCUUCACGUUAUUUUACUUUAACAAAGGUAAAUGUUGUAUUUUGAACGUUUGUGUGUUUAAGGUUUAUUGUGUUCCCCACUGAAAUUACACAGAAUUAUUGAUGGUAAAUGAUAUGCUGUAAAUGUUCUUAUAUAUACAUAUUGUCUUGUAUUGAUUUACAUAACUGGCCUGCUGCAAUAAAUAUGCAAAGAUAAUAUUUAGUUCAAAUAAUAUUUAGUAGAUGAAUACAAUUAAACCAUGUAUAAUCUUAAUAAAGAUGUUUGUAUAUGGA